GACGAACGCUGGCGGCGCGCCUAACACAUGCAAGUCGAACGAGCGAGAGAGAGCUUGCUUUCUCGAGCGAGUGGCGAACGGGUGAGUAACGCGUGAGGAACCUGCCUCAAAGAGGGGGACAACAGUUGGAAACGACUGCUAAUACCGCAUAAGCCCACGGCUCGGCAUCGAGCAGAGGGAAAAGGAGCAAUCCGCUUUGAGAUGGCCUCGCGUCCGAUUAGCUAGUUGGUGAGGUAACGGCCCACCAAGGCGACGAUCGGUAGCCGGACUGAGAGGUUGAACGGCCACAUUGGGACUGAGACACGGCCCAGACUCCUACGGGAGGCAGCAGUGGGGAAUAUUGCACAAUGGGGGAAACCCUGAUGCAGCGACGCCGCGUGGAGGAAGAAGGUCUUCGGAUUGUAAACUCCUGUUG
rnacentral:rRNA from 1 species